UACGUAGGGUGCGAGCGUUAUUCGGAAUUACUGGGCGUAAAGCGUGCGCAGGCGGUUUUGUAAGUCAGGUGUGAAAUCCCCGGGCUUAACCUGGGAACUGCGUUUGAAACUACAAGGCUAGAGUGUGGCAGAGGGGGGUGGAAUUCCACGUGUAGCAGUGAAAUGCGUAGAGAUGUGGAGGAACACCGAUGGCGAAGGCAGCCCCCUGGGUUAACACUGACGCUCAGGCACGAAAGCGUGGGGAGCAAACAGG
rnacentral:rRNA from 1 species